rnacentral:rRNA from 1 species
CCUACGGGAGACAGCAGUGAGGAAUAUUGGUCAAUGGGCGAGAGCCUGAACCAGCCAAGUCGCGUGAGGGAAGACGGUCCUAUGGAUUGUAAACCUCUUUUGCCGGGGAGCAAAAAGCGGUACGUGUACCGCAUCGAGAGUACCCGGAGAAAAAGCAUCGGCUAACUCCGUGCCAGCAGCCGCGGUAAUACGGAGGAUGCGAGCGUUAUCCGGAUUUAUUGGGGUAAAAGGGUGCGCAGGCGGCGAGUUAAGUCAGCGGUAAAAUUUCGGGGCUCAACCCCGACAAGCCGUUGAAACUGGCGUGCUAGAGUGGGCGAGAAGUAUGCGGAAUGCGUGGUGUAGCGGUGAAAUGCAUAGAUAUCACGCAGAACUCCGAUUGCGAAGGCAGCAUACCGGCGCCCAACUGACGCUCAGGCACGAAAGCGUGGGUAUCGAACAGGAUUAGAUACCCUAGUAGUC